rnacentral:lncRNA from 1 species
GGUCCCUGAAGUUUAAAACUUUCAUAAACGGUCUCUUAAGUUUCGGGCGAUUUCACUAAUGGUCACUGAAGUUUUUAAAACUUUCAUAAAUGGUCACUUCAGGUACCAAAAUGAUUUUAAUUCAAACUUAAGNAGAAUUUUUUAUUUCAAAAGUGUCUCUAGAGGAAGAUACAAUAGACGAGUUUUCUUUGAAAGUUUUUUCUAACUAUUAGAAACAUUCUCACAAAAUUAGACAAAGGGGUUUAAAAGUAAUUUUUUGGAUUUCAAAAGUUUCCUUUGCAUUUUUAAAAGUCAUGCUGAACGAGCUCUAAAAUAUGUAGGUGAUGCAGUUGUUGCAAUUUUUAGCCUCUGUUUGUUGUUCUUUAAAAAUUUAAAUUGUUUAUUAAAGGAUUAUUUUUUGCCACACAUUUUACACAAUAAAAUAUUUUAUAGACAAAUUAAUAAAGUUUCUUUACUUUUUAAUCAUAUAUUAAAAAAAAAAAAAGUCAAUAAUUCAUUUUUUCCAAAUAAAUUCUAUCAAACAAUGCCUUUAGCAUUCAGGAUUAUAUGCUAGCAGACAUUUCGAUUAAUGUGUGGUACGAACGAUCCACCCAAAUUGACAUCGUUAUAAAUUUCUAAAUUGAAAGAGCUUUCUAAAAAUACAAAUUUGAGGCACUAACGAUUUUAGUAAGCCAUGGCCAAACAAUAAAAAAAUUAGUAUUAUUUAUUUAUUGUUUAUAAUUUUUCUAAGAAGACUUGUAUCAUACUUCGAGUACUUAUGUUAUAAAUAAUACGACGAAGAAGGGUUUUUAUAGUCGAUUAUAUAUUUAUUAUAUUAUUUUUAAAGUAAAUUGAAUAAAAUAAUAUAAAAUAUCAUUGACAAGUAAUUAUACAUAAUGUAGUCAAAACCUAUGACCUAGGGUUUUGUACUUGUGUUGGACUUAUUUUUUUUAUUUUUAUUUUUUUUAAAGUAAUAUUAUUUACAUUCGCUCACUUUCAUAAUCAUCAUAAAUGACAUAUAUAUGCGGCUAGCGAUUUGAUGUACUAAUGUGCAUCAAAUCGUUAGCCGCUACAUGUAUACCAAUAACAUUAUUCUUUUUUUCCAAUAUUAAAGCUAUUGAUGUCUACGGACUAUGGACUGAUUAACUUAAUCAAUACUAAUUUGAUGACACAUAACUAAAAAAAUUUCCCUGAGAUUUGAUGAAUUGAAUUAAUGAGUGAUAUGCUCCAUUAUCUCUUCAUUACGUAAUUAAUUUAAGUGUAAUCUUACACGGAGAUCCAUCAAACUAAAGUAUUAAUAGUUGAAAAGUCGGUGCUUAAAAAAUAAAAUUCCGAAGAAAAUGAAGUAAAGAAUAAUUUAUUAUUUUAUUCAUAUUUAAAUGUAUGUUUAGGAGGUUAGAUUGAAUACGAUAAAAAAACCUUUAAAAAAAAAAAUUAUAGUGAUUUGAUUUAAUUCUGCAUGCCAAAAUGUUAAAAAAUGCUUUAUGUAUAUAACUAUUUACCGAAUGUUUUAGCCGUCUUAUAUUUUAACAGAGGCUCUUCCUCUAUAUUUUUACAUAGAACAGUUGAAAUUGAAAAGAAACAUACUUUUUACAGGUUAGUGUUGAAUAGGAAACACAUAAGUGUUAAAAUAGUUUAUGUCAUUUAAUUUAAGAUAUCAAAAUAAUAGUUAAAUUACUAUCCAUCGUUUUAGCUACGUAUAAAUAGACAUGAUAACCUAUAAAUUGUGAGUUUGGAUGAAUAUAUAUCGAGUUUAUAAAAGGCACUAUGCGUGACAAGGUGACAAUAUCAAAUUUUACGAGUUAAAAACGUAAUAUGACAUAUUUUUAUUUUUAAUAUUAUUUUAAGUACGUUUUUAAAUAAAUUUAAUAAUUUCUUUCAAAUAUAUGUUGUAAUCUACUUUCUAAUUUUCUUUUUAUUAAGUUUUCAUUCUAUUUAAUUAAUUUAUUUGACGUUGAAUUUUUUUUUUUAAAAAAGGAAAAAAAUAAAAAUAAAUGCACACCCCUUAUGGCGCCUAGCUCCCAUUAAAAAGUUGAGAAAAGGUUGGGUUAAUUUCACAAACGGUCACUGAAAAGUUACAAAACGGUCCCUGAAGUUUAAAACUUUCAUAAACGGUCUCUUAAGUUUCGGGCGAUUUCACUAAUGGUCACUGAAGUUUUUAAAACUUUCAUAAAUGGUCACUUCAGGUACCAAAAUGAUUCUAAUUCAAACUUAAGGAUCGAAACACGUGACCAUACAAUUUUUUAAGGACCUUCUGUGCAAAAUAUUUUCCUCCCACUUCCAUGUUCACUCCCCUUCUCCGACACCGGUGGUUCAAGGCCAAAAUCGAGCCCCCUACCGCCAGAUAAACCACCAGAUUUUUACACCAAAAACACCUCAUCAUCCCCCUCCACAAUCCUAUAUCAAUAAUCAACCAAAACACAUAAAAAAUGAAAUGAAAUUCGGGUUCAAAAAAACUGUAAUCAUGCACGAUUUUCUUCGAAUUCCGGCCAACCCACCAUCAGCCAUAUCAAAACUCCAUCAUAGGCUGUUAGUACUCCCCAAAACGAACAAAUACAUGGUCUCAUAUCAUCACAAAACAAUUUCAAUCAAAAUCGAAAUGAUACCAGUUCGAAGGCAGCCGGCAACGAACUUUCCUCUCCAAUUUUCGGCGCCGACAUCAACAAUUACGGUCGCUUACCACCACCAUUACCUUCUACUCAUCAUGGCGAACAAGAUGCACAUAUGGGUCCUCACCAAUUUAUCUCGAAUCAGCCAAUUUCUGUUCAUGCAUCUUCUACACGUGAAUGGCUUUCGAAACGAUUUCAAUUGAGCACUCAAAUCUUAUCCAACCUAUAAAUAAACAUGGGGAAACUGAAAUUCAUCAUUAAAAGAAAACAUUGGGUAUCCCUUCAAUUGCAGAAAUUACAUCACCAGCUUGUCAAAUUUUGGGGUCAAAUGCUUGAAGUGCCACCGGAAAUUGAAGGGAG